GGUCGUAGUUCUGUGGUAGAGCGCUUGCCGCGCAUGCAUGAGGUCCUGGGUUCGAUCCUCAGCACCA
rnacentral:tRNA from 1 species